rnacentral:rRNA from 1 species
UGGGGAAUAUUGGACAAUGGGGGAAACCCUGAUCCAGCAAUGCCGCGUGUGUGAAGAAGGCCUGAGGGUUGUAAAGCACUUUCAGUGGGGAGGAGGGUUGAUUGGUUAAGAGCUGAUUAAUUGGACGUUACCCACAGAAGAAGCACCGGCUAACUCCGUGCCAGCAGCCGCGGUAAUACGGAGGGUGCAAGCGUUAAUCGGAAUUACUGGGCGUAAAGGGUGCGUAGGUUGUUGAAUAAGUUAGUUGUGAAAUACCCGGGCUUAACUUGGGAGUGCCAACUAAGACUGUUUGACUGGAGUAUGGGAGAGGGUAGUGGAAUUUCCGGUGUAGCGGUGAAAUGCGUAGAGAUCGGAAGGAACACCAGUAGCGAAGGCGGCUACCUGGCCUAAUACUGACACUGAAGCACGAAAGCGUGGGGAGCAAACAGG